UCGCCACCCAGGCCGGGGACUCCGGCGGCCCAGAGAGAGCUCCUCCCUCCAUCAAGCCCAGCAGGCCACAGCGAGGGCCCGGCCCACAGAGCCCGCGCCCACCGGAACCCGCGCCGGCCCGUGAGCCCCACGCGCAGCCUGGCCUCCCGCCCGCGCCUCUCCCUCCACACCUCCCCGCCAGCAGAGGGAGCCGGCGCUGGCCCUGGCCAGCCCCAGAGAGGGGCCCUCGCAGCGCAGCUGCGGGUUGAAGGGCUCCUGGAGCGCGGCUAGAGCAGACGCCGAGGCGGAGGAGGUGCCGAGAGUGAGCGAGGGCUGCUAGCACGUUGUCACCUCUCGGUCACCCGUCUGGUCAGGAACUGGAUUGGGAUGAGCUCCCCGGACAAGCGGCUGGAUGAUGUCUUGUACUUGUUGGAGAGACUGCAGGUAGAAACACUGGGAAGACAAAGCUUGGCUGAGACCCGACACCCGAAUUCCUGAAGGAGGACCAGCAAAAGUGGAGUAUUCCAGGCGGACUGACAUGGUCUUCAGCCGGUCCCUCCUUUUGGGGUCCCUGACUUCCUGCAACAGAAGGCAAAGAGCCUGAGGAGAGGAAGAGCCUGCGGCAUUCCACUCCUUCCAGUU